UAACCACAUGCAAGUCGAACGCGUCUUGGGGGGCAACUCCUGAGGUGAGUGGCGAACGGGUGAGUAACACGUGAGUAAUCUACCCUCGAGUGAGGAAUAACCCCGCGAAAGCGGAGCUAAUACUGCAUAAUACUCUGGAGCGUAAGCUUUCAGAGUCAAAGCUUUCCGAGCAAUCGGACAGCGCUUGAGGAUGAGUUUGCGGCCUAUUAGCUUGUUGGUGAGGUAACGGCUCACCAAGGCAAAGAUGGGUAGCCGGCUUGAGAGGGUGUACGGCCCCACUGGUACUGAGACACGGACCAGACUCCUACGGGAGGCAGCAGUGGGGAAUAUUGGUCAAUGGGUGCAAACCUGAACCAGCCAUUCCGCGUGGAGGAUGAAUGUCUUACGGAUUGUAAACUCCUUUUCUACAGAAAGAAUUUCCCGAUUUCGUAUCGGGAUGGACGUACUGUGGGAAUAAGC
rnacentral:rRNA from 1 species